rnacentral:rRNA from 1 species
UAUCUGCAGUCGAGCGGACAGAAGGGAGCUUGCUCCCGGAUGUUAGCGGCGGACGGGUGAGUAACACGUGGGUAACCUGCCUGUAAGACUGGGAUAACUCCGGGAAACCGGAGCUAAUACCGGAUAGUUCCUUGAACCGCAUGGUUCAAGGAUAAAAGACGGUUUCGGCUGUCACUUACAGAUGGACCCGCGGCGCAUUAGCUAGUUGGUGAGGUAACGGCUCACCAAGGCGACGAUGCGUAGCCGACCUGAGAGGGUGAUCGGCCACACUGGGACUGAGACACGGCCCAGACUCCUACGGGAGGCAGCAGUAGGGAAUCUUCCGCAAUGGACGAAAGUCUGACGGAGCAACGCCGCGUGAGUGAUGAAGGUUUUCGGAUCGUAAAGCUCUGUUGUUAGGGAAGAACAAGUGCAAGAGUAACUGCUUGCACCUUGACGGUACCUAACCAGAAAGCCACGGCUAACUACGUGCCAGCAGCCGCGGUAAUACGUAGGUGGCAAGCGUUGUCCGGAAUUAUUGGGCGUAAAGGGCUCGCAGGCGGUUUCUUAAGUCUGAUGUGAAAGCCCCCGGCUCAACCGGGGAGGGUCAUUGGAAACUGGGAAACUUGAGUGCAGAAGAGGAGAGUGGAAUUCCACGUGUAGCGGUGAAAUGCGUAGAGAUGUGGAGGAACACCAGUGGCGAAGGCGACUCUCUGGUCUGUAACUGACGCUGAGGAGCGAAAGCGUGGGGAGCGAACAGGAUUAGAUACCCUGGUAGUCCACGCCGUAAACGAUGAGUGCUAAGUGUUAGGGGGUUUCCGCCCCCUUAGUGCUGCAGCUAACGCAUUAAGCACUCCGCCUGGGGAGUACGG